GACGACAUCUCUUCGAGCCUCUCUGGCGGUCGAGCCUCCCCAACGCUCUCAAGUUUUGCCGAUGGACAAGCCCCCGCCAGUGUCGAUCGGAUUCUUCACGAUGCUCAGACUCCUAUGGGAGCCGGACCUCUUCCCCGACUUCAACUGCUGGAAGACUUCGUCCGGACUCCUACGGGAGCAGGACUUCACCCCCAACUUC
rnacentral:lncRNA from 1 species